AUUGAACGCUGGCGGCAGGCCUAACACAUGCAAGUCGAACGAGUGGCGGCCGGUUGAGUAAUGUAUGGGACACUGCCUGAUGGCGGGGGAUAACUACUGGAAACGGUAGCUAAUACCGCAUACUAUCGGAUGUGCCCAUAUGGGAUUAGCUAGUAGGUGGGGUAAAGGCUCACCUAGGCGACGAUCCCUAUCUGUUCUGAGAGGAUGAACAGCCAAAAUGGAACUGAGACACGGCCCAGACUCCUACGGGAGGCAGCAGUGGGGAAUAUUGCACAAUGGGCGCAAGCCUGAUGCAGCCAUGCCGCGUGUAUGAAGAAGGCCUUAGGGUUGUAAAGUACUUUCAGCGGGGAGGCGUUACCCGCAGAAGAAGCACCGGCUAACUCCGUGCCAGCAGCCGCGGUAAUUC
rnacentral:rRNA from 1 species